rnacentral:lncRNA from 1 species
GAUCUGCACACAUAAGCACAGGUAUUGUUACAAUUCCAAUGAUGUCAAAAUGAUUAUCACCUUCCUUCCUUUUCUGUAUGGCAUCUGUUAUCACAUUUCUACUCAGCCCUCACCAUGUGGGCUCAAUACUCAUAAUGCAAUUUGAUUAUGGACAGAGAGGAAAUAUUUAGUAAUUAUGUCAGAUUCCUGCAUCACGCUCUUCAUUUUCUCAUAAACAUAGUUUAAUUCAAGAUGGGAAGUUGAUUCACCCUUUGAUACAACAAGCCCCAGCUCUUUGUCCUGCUCAAAUAAAUGUUAAUACAACAAGCACCAUCAGGUGACAAUAAAAACAGGUGCUGAUGACUUAGAUGAGAAUAAAACCCAGACAGACAAGAAAUUCCCAGAAGCUCUCCUGUACUUGAUGUGAAGAUGCAUAAUAUCAACUUCAUGGAAAUAAAAGUUUAAGGCUGUAAAUAACCACCUUGCACAAUGUGUGAUUUCCACAUUAGCUUGACUGAGGUGUGUUCAAACGUGUUUAUGAACUGGCAUUUUCUCUUGUGAUGGUCCUCACAGUUGUUUCUCCAAGCACUCUGCAGGAAGUUAAAUUAGCAUGGGCUGAAACAAGAAUCUGAGCCUUCACAGGCACAUCAUCUCCAGAAGCACCCCCAUGACAAUACGUGAGCAUUCAGAAACAGCCACCCUCAGAGACAAGCCCCCUUCCUAGGAGCUAACGUGCCAGUAUCCCAGCCCAAGGCUCAUCCAUGCUGCAGCAAGGCCAAGCUGGGUGGAUGGACCUCAACCUCACCACUGUGUGGAGGAAACCUGGUGCUCAGCCAGGGUCCCCAGUUCCUUGAACUGCACGGUCUCCCACCCGCAUCUCUCCAUCCUCACCUCCCUCGCCCUCCACGUUCUCCACCCCUUGGCCCAGGAGAGCCAGGCCCUGCUGAGCUGCACCACGGACCCUCCUGUCUCCCUUCCUCAGCCUCGUGGCCAGUCAGCACGGAUCCCACCGAGAAGCUUCCAGCCCCAAAGCACUUGCCAAGCC